GACGAACGCUGGCGGCGUGCUUAACACAUGCAAGUUGAACGAAGUGGCGGAUGGGUGAGUAACACGUGAGGAACCUGCCUUUCACAGGGGAAUAACACUGGGAAACCAGUGCUAAUACCGCAUAGUGAAAGAUGGCCUCGCGCCUGAUUAGCUGGUAGGUGAGGUAACGGCUCACCUAGGUGAUGCUCAGUAGCCGGACUGAAGGUUGAUCGGCCGCAUUGGGACUGGGACGCGGCCCAGGCGCCUACGGGAGGCGGCAGUGGGGAAUAUUGGGCAAUGGCGCAAGCCUGACCCAGCAACGCCGCGUGAAGGAAGACGGUCUUCGGAUUGUAAACUUCUUUAGACAGGGACGCGGUACCUGUAGAAUAAGCCACGGCUAACUACGUGCCAGCAGCCGCGGUAAUUC
rnacentral:rRNA from 1 species